CCUACGGGUGGCAGCAGUGGGGAAUAUUGCGCAAUGGGCGAAAGCCUGACGCAGCGACGCCGCGUGAGGGAUGAAGGUCUUCGGAUUGUAAACCUCUGUCAGCAGGGAAGAACGGUCACUGUGCUAAUCAGCAGUGAAUUGACGGUACCUGCAAAGGAAGAACCGGCUAACUCCGUGCCAGCAGCCGCGGUAAUACGGAGGGUGCGAGCGUUAAUCGGAAUUACUGGGAGUAAAGCGCUCGUAGGCGGUAUGUCAAGUAAAGGGGGAAAUCCCCGCGCUCAACCUGGGAACUGCCGUUGAAACUGGCAAACUGGAGUGUGGGAGAGGAUAGUGGAAUGCCAGGUGUAGGGGUGAAAUCCGUAGAUAUCGGGAGGAACAUCAGUGGCGAAGGCGACUAUCUGGCACAUAACUGACGCUGAGGAGCGAAAGCGUGGGUAGCAAACAGGAUUAGAUACCCCAGUAGUC
rnacentral:rRNA from 1 species